ACAACACCCUCUGCGGUACUACUAAUAGAAACAGAGUAGCAAAGUGAAGUCAGUCUCGGUUUGCCCUCUGCAGCACGCUUUCCCCAGCAGACACUUGAAGAUGAGGAAUGGGAUGAACAUUCAGUUGGUGCCUCUGAAACCCUUAUAGCCACACAGAUCUUAACUGAUCUCUGGCCCAACCUGCUGCCCCUGAAAUGAUAUUUACAGGGAAUUGCAAGGCACACAGGAGUCCGUGGGAUCACAACUUGGAGCACAAGUCUUGAGCACACAGCUGGGAGAGUCACAGAAGGAUGCUUCACAGUAGGAGUCUUGGCAAUGGUCCAGAAGCCAGAGAUUGCCUUGGUAGCUGCUGGAAAAACGCCUCCUUUUCCUAUCAAACUCGUUGUCACACACCAGGAAGAGAUUCCAGCAGAGUGCAUUGUGUCCAAACUUCACUCAUUUGCUGCUACAUCGAAAGCACAAGCAGGCUGGGACUUGCAAAGUGACUUUAGAAACACCAAGGAUCCAGAGAACAGAUGCCUAUGGAAAUGUGCUUUGUUGGACUGUAGAAAUGGCGUUCUGUGUUUAGCAGACAUUCCAAAGUACUUCCUCAAUAAAUGAUGCUGAAUGAGAAUUUUGGGGAUUCAAUUUUAAACAAAAGUAUCAAAUGUUUUAUCAAUGUACUUUCAGGCUCUGAGGCGCUGGGGUUUUGUUUUGUUUUUUAUUAUAUGGUUGUUGUUCUUUCUGUUCAAGCCCUAGUCUUUUCUUCUUUUUCAAUAUACAUAUCUUUUGUCAUGGGUGUUGUUUAGAGUGUUUAGAGAUCUUUUACUUCCUGUAUUCUUCCAUAAGGAAUUCAGCAAGAAAAGAUAGGAUGUUUUCUUCAUACUCAGAUUUCUGCCAGUAUGAUGCUUUGAGGAAUUUCCUUGUUUCCUGUGCUUCAAAGCCGUGUUUCAUUCUCAUGAUAAGGAAAGUGAUGGAGAAGGGAUUUCUCUAUAGUAAACGAGACAGCAGGUUUGCUUUAACAUAUAGCCUGUUCACCCUGCAGUUAGUGAGGUUCUGGAAUGAAUCAAGAGGUCUGUGUUACAGGUGUUUCUUGAAAGCCAUCAUCACCACCCCAGAGAACUGAAGGCACCUAGUGCUUCUCAACCCAUAAUAAUUUCAUACGGAAAAUGUAAAACAUUUUUCUAUUGCUAUGAACAAUGAUGGCUGAGUUGCAGUUUGUGUGUGUUUGUAACACUUUCUUGUAUGCUCUUUUUUUCCCACUGUGGAACUGGGUCUGACAGUAGAGCAAUUUCCCUGGGAUGUAUACAGGCAUGUUUGAUAGAAUAUGUGACAGCCAGAGGGAUGUCUUGGGGUAGAGGUAAUAAAAUAUAGUUUUGCGGUCU
rnacentral:lncRNA from 1 species